rnacentral:rRNA from 1 species
AUUGAACGCUGGCGGCAGGCCUAACACAUGCAAGUCGAGCGGAUGAGAGGAGCUUGCUUCUCGAUUCAGCGGCGGACGGGUGAGUAAUGCCUAGGAAUCUGCCUGGUAGUGGGGGACAACGUUUCGAAAGGAGAGCUAAUACCGCAUACGUCCUACGGGAGAAAGCAGGGGACCUUCGGGCCUUGCGCUAUCAGAUGAGCCUAGGUCGGAUUAGCUAGUUGGUGAGGUAAUGGCUCACCAAGGCGACGAUCCGUAACUGGUCUGAGUGGAUGAUCAGGCACACUGGGACUGAGACACGGUCCAGACUCCUACGGGAGGCAGCAGUGGGGAAUAUUGGACAAUGGGCGAAAGCCUGAUCCAGCCAUGCCGCGUGUGUGAAGAAGGUCUUCGGAUUGUAAAGCACUUUAAGUUGGGAGGAAGGGUUGUAGAUUAAUACUCUGCAAUUUUGACGUUACCGACAGAAUAAGCACCGGCUAACUCUGUGCCAGCCGCCGCCGUAACAC